GAUGAAGAACGCAGCGAAAUGCGAUAAGUAAUGUGAAUUGCAGAAUUCAGUGAAUCAUCGAAUCUUUGAACGCACCUUGCGCUCCUUGGUAUUCCAAAGAGCAUGCCUGUUUGAGUAUCAUUAAAUUAUCAACUGUACCAAUUUGGUUGCAGAUUGGAUGUGGGAGAUUUUGCAGGCUUUUGAUUUCUCUUUGAGAAAACGGUCAGCUCUCCUGAAAUAUAUUAGCAGUGCCUUUGUUGGUUCAUUAGGUGUGAUAAUUUAUCUACAUCUUCACAUGGUACCUUCAUUUGUGUAAAGGUCAUAUUGCUUCUAAUUGUCUUUGGACAUAAAAAAAAAAAAACAUAUAAUUGUAUGGAAAACUUGAUCUCAAAUCAGGCAGGACUACCCGCUGAACUUAAGCAUAUCAAUAAGCGGAGGA
rnacentral:misc_RNA from 1 species